rnacentral:lncRNA from 1 species
GAGCUCUCCUGCUGGAACGAAGGACUUUGGCUCUCCACAAAGGCUGCCCACCUUCUGGCCAGGCUAAGCGCAGGAGCAGAAAGGGAAUUCAGAGGACAUCCUAAUUAAAAAUGAAAAUGGAUCAUCACACAAGUAGCUUAUUAUGAGCUGUAAAACCCCAUGAAAAAUGAAUAUAAUCUUUCUCAAGCAGGCUUUUGGAGGCACUAGGCAAGUGAGGGUGACACAGUCUGUGGUUUGCAUGGACAUUCAGGAUGGAGUUUCACAUUCAGGUUUCUGUGGCCUUGGACCUUGGCAGAAAUGGGAUUGGGGCCCAAGGGUUCACCAGAGUGGUUCAUUUGUUAAAAUUUAUGAACCUACAUUGAGACAUCGUUAUCACCCAAAGGCUGUAGUUUGUAUUAGGGUGUUGUACAUUGGUGUUGUACAUCUUGGUGUUGUACAUUCUAUGGGUUUGGACAAAUGUAUAACGACGUGUAUCCAUCAUUACAGUAUUACAUAGAGUAUUUUCACUACCCUAAAAAUCCUCUGUGCUGCACUUAUUCCUCCUUCCUUACUCCAACUCUUGGCAACCACUGAUCUUUUUACUGUGU